rnacentral:rRNA from 1 species
CCAGACUCCUACGGGAGGCAGCAGUGGGGAAUAUUGCACAAUGGGGGAAACCCUGAUGCAGCGACGCCGCGUGAGUGAGGAAGUAUUUCGGUAUGUAAAGCUCUAUCAGCAGGGAAGAAAAUGACGGUACCUGACUAAGAAGCCCCGGCUAACUACGUGCCAGCAGCCGCGGUAAUACGUAGGGGGCAAGCGUUAUCCGGAUUUACUGGGUGUAAAGGGAGCGUAGACGGCUAAUCAAGUCAGAAGUGAAAACCCAGGGCUCAACCUUGGGAGUGCUUUUGAAACUGAGUAGCUAGAGUGCAGGAGAGGUAAGCGGAAUUCCUAGUGUAGCGGUGAAAUGCGUAGAUAUUAGGAGGAACACCAGUGGCGAAGGCGGCUUACUGGACUGUAACUGACGUUGAGGCUCGAAAGCGUGGGGAGCAAACAGGAUUAGAUACCCCAGUA